GGCCCUGUAGUGAAGUUCAUGGUGAGUUGCAAGCUCAUUGAUGUGCGUUGACUGCGUGCCGGGGCCU
rnacentral:tRNA from 1 species